rnacentral:lncRNA from 1 species
AUGGACAACGCACCCUGCGCUAUGGGAGCGCAGCGCCCCCCUGUGGACACGACCGGAAGGCCCGGAGGACCGGCGGCUGCCCACCGCCCCAGGACAGCGGUUAGGCUGCCGAAGUUCACCGGGGUAACGCAGUUGGAACCAUACCUGGCCCAGUUCCGGCUUGCAGCGUGGCAUAACGACUGGGGUGCCGAGGAGGCGGUUGUCCACCUUGCCCUGGCGUUGGAGGGGACGGCAGCACGGGUGCUGCUCGACCUGGACCAAGCGGACCAGCGAGACCUUCAGGCCCUGAUCCAAGCGUUGGAGAGGCGGUUGGGUGAACGGGUCUCCAGCAACGAGAGCAAGCAGUUGCUGGCUUCUCGCAGCCGCAGGGAGGAGGAGAGCCUGGGCGUCUACGCUGCUGACGUCCAGCUCUUGACCCGACGCAGCUACCCGGAAUUCAACGCGGCUACACGGGAGGCCCUGGCGCUCCACGCUUUCCUGCGGGGACUGCAGCCGGAGAGUCUCGGGCAGCAUGUCCGCCUCACCGCGCCCCAGACCUUCGAUGCGGCUCUGGACCAGGCGGAACGGGCUGAGGUGGAGCUCUGCCGCCGUCCUGAUGGUGCAUCCGUGGACGCGGCUGGGGCAGCGGCCGCCCCCGGCACAAAGAACGUGGAGGUCAGGUCCAGGCAGCGGAAGGGCCGGGUCCGGACGGCCACCCUUCCCGCCACCGAGGCGGCUGAGGCUUCCCGUGCACUGUGGCGGCACGACAGGGCUGACCUUGAGCCGCAGCAGUGUCGGCAGCUUAGGCUGGUCGAGGAGUGCGGGUGGACGGGGCAGCGUGCCACCCACCCUCGUCCCAGCCGCCGGCGUGGCCGUCGGAAGGCCAGACGUCGGAGGGCGGCGGAGGAUGGGGUGCCCGAACGGCGCUCCAGAGCCCCCCUACAGCAGAACCUGGUGGGGGCCCCGAAAGAGGUGGUUCCCGACCACCACACCCCCAGGUCCUCUGCGGACAGUUGGAGACGGGCGUCCCAACCCGAGGGGAAGGCUGCACCUCAACGGGGCCACUACUGGCAGGGGCCAAGGCGGCGGCGCUGGCCCCCUGAACACUCGGGACUGUGCAUUGGGUGUUGGGGUCGUCGGGACGUCUGA